CUGCAGAAGAGGCCUUUCUAGGGCUGCAGGAAUCAGGGUCUUUGUACUGAAGGAACUUCAUCUUGGACACCUUGUACACGGCUUUGGAGUGUCUUUUGUUGGAAGUGACCGAAGUGCAGGGCCACCAGGAUCCCCCUUCCCACAUGAUGGCCGACACAAAGGCCAAGCAGAGGGAGCUGGGCUCCAACAGAAAGAGGCUUCAGAGGUACAACAACUCUUUGGUGACCUUUGCGGAUGUGGCUAUAUAUUUCACCGAGGAGGAAUGGAAACUGUUGACAAAAA